GGUUUAGUGGUUAGGGCACGGGACUCGCACCCCCCAGGUAUCGAGUUCGAACCCCACCC
rnacentral:tRNA from 1 species